GGCAGGAGAUUCGUCACGAAGAGGCACGGUCCGUGUCUGCAGCGCGUGGGGUGAUUUGGAGAGUGUCGGACGGAACUUUUCCUGUGUGUUGGCAGAAUUCGGUUCGAGGGCUUGUGUACUGGAAGCCUGAUUGCGGCAAUUGAUCCGGUCCUGUCCCUCCUUGUAGGGAGAGGCUGGACCUAGUCGGUAAUCGACAACGCCCAAGCUCCCCCGGUCGGCGCGGCGUCAGACGACGAAAAAUCCCGCUGGUCGCCUUCGGGUGUAGCCACGCCGGUACAACUGGGGGGCCCUUCAUCGGCGAAAGCCGGUUUGGGCAUUGGGCGUUGGCAGCUGGCAGGGCCGGAAGGUAGGUUUAUUGUUUAAUCCCAUUAGUGCUUGUAUCUUUUUAGGUGAAUUCAGCUACAGCUUAGGUCCACUUGCCUGCCUUUCAAAAGCAAAUUGUAACGUGGUAACUACUGGACUUGGACUGGAUGUUUGGCCAGGUCAUAUUUUUGUAAAACUGAACUAAACCACACACGGGAGCUCAUAAUUCAUCAACCCUAGGGUAACCGAUGGACAAUCUAACCAUUUCGAUUACAUACAUCAUGCCGGGAAGGUCUUGCAUAAGAAAACAACACUCCGCACAUUGAAUGACCAUCGUAGAAACCCACCUAAAAUAAAUUUUAAAAUCGGAAUCCUGAUUUACAAGACUACAGUGUCGACCCACCCAUCAAACAAAAUUUAAUUUUAAUUUAAUUUUAAUU